GAACGUUACCAAACUGUUGCCUCGGCGGGAUCUCUGCCCCGGGUGCGUCGCAGCCCCGGACCAAGGCGCCCGCCGGAGGACCAACCAAAACUCUUAUUGUAUACCCCCUCGCGGGUUUUUUUUAUAAUCUGAGCCUUCUCGGCGCCUCUCGUAGGCGUUUCGAAAAUGAAUCAAAACUUUCAACAACGGAUCUCUUGGUUCUGGCAUCGAUGAAGAACGCAGCGAAAUGCGAUAAGUAAUGUGAAUUGCAGAAUUCAGUGAAUCAUCGAAUCUUUGAACGCACAUUGCGCCCGCCAGUAUUCUGGCGGGCAUGCCUGUCCGAGCGUCAUUUCAACCCUCGAACCCCUCCGGGGGGUCGGCGUUGGGGAUCGGCCCUGCCUUGGCGGUGGCCGUCUCCGAAAUACAGUGGCGGUCUCGCCGCAGCCUCUCCUGCGCAGUAGUUUGCACACUCGCAUCGGGAGCGCGGCGCGUCCACAGCCGUUAAACACCCAACUUCUGAAAUGUUGACCUCGGAUCAGGUAGGAAUACCCGCUGAACUUAAGCAUA
rnacentral:rRNA from 1 species